rnacentral:rRNA from 1 species
AAUGAACGUUGGCGGCGUGGAUUAGGCAUGCAAGUCGUGCGUGUACCAGCAAUGGGAAAGCGGCGAAAGGGAGAGUAACGCGUGGGUUAUCUACCUCGAGGUCUGGGAUAGCUGCGAGAAAUUGCAGGUAAUACCAGAUGAUGUCUUCGGACCAAAGGUGUGAUUCCGCCUUGAGAGGAGCCCGCGUCCUAUUAGCUAGUUGGUGAGGUGAUGGCUCACCAAGGCAACGAUGGGUACGGGGUGUGAGAGCAUGUCCCCGCUCACUGGGACUGAGACACUGCCCAGACACCUACGGGUGGCUGCAGUCGAGAAUCUUCGGCAAUGGACGCAAGUCUGACCGAGCGACGCCGCGUGCGGGAUGAAGGCCUUCGGGUUGUAAACCGCUGUCAGUGGGGAGGAAAUGUAUGUGGGUACUCCCAUGUAUUUGACCUAUCCGCAGAGGAAGGGCGGGCUAAGUUCGUGCCAGCAGCCGCGGUAAAAC